UCGAGAAUCUUCGGCAAUGGGCGCAAGCCUGACCGAGCGACGCCGCGUGGAGGAUGAAGGCCUUCGGGUUGUAAACUCCUGUCGAGGGGGAAAAAGGCCCGGCAACGGGCUUGAUUGAUCCCUGGAGGAAGCACGGGCUAAGUUCGUGCCAGCAGCCGCGGUAAGACGAACCGUGCGAACGUUAUUCGGAAUCACUGGGCUUAAAGCGCGUGUAGGCGGGUCCGUGCGUCUGUCGCUGAAAUCCCCCGGCUCAACCGGGGAACGGGCGCGGAUACGACGGGCCUGGAGGGGCGUAGGGGGACCUGGAACUUCCGGUGGAGCGGUGAAAUGCGUUGAGAUCGGAAGGAACGCCCGUGGCGAAAGCGAGGUCCUGGACGCCUACUGACGCUGAGACGCGAAAGCCAGGGGAGCGAACGG
rnacentral:rRNA from 1 species